rnacentral:rRNA from 1 species
UCGUUAACGAACGAGACCUCGGCCUGCUAAAUAGUUCGGAGAAUCCUCCGGGAUUCUUUUGCAACUUCUUAGAGGGACUAUCGGUGAUUUAGCCGAUGGAAGUUCGAGGCAAUAACAGGUCUGUGAUGCCCUUAGAUGUUCUGGGCCGCACGCGCGCUACACUGAUACGUUCAUCGAGCUUACAACCUUGGUUGAGAGGCCUGGGUAAUCUUUUGAAACCGUAUCGUGCUGGGGAUAGAUUAUUGUAAUUUUUAAUCUUCAACGAGGAAUUCCUAGUAAACGCUGGUCAUCAGCCAGCAUUGAUUACGUCCCUGCCCUUUGUACACACCGCCCGUCGCUAGUACCGAUUGAAUGGAUU